AAGACAUUAGUAAAAUGCAAAUUACACCACCUUGUCAAGAUGGCGUCGUAGGUUAAACCCCUGCAUGUCUUA
rnacentral:tRNA from 1 species